UACGUAGGGGGCAAGCGUUGUCCGGAAUCAUUGGGCGUAAAGAGCUCGUAGGCGGUUCGGUAAGUCGGGUGUGAAAACUCUGGGCUCAACCCAGAGAGGCCACCCGAUACUGCUGUGACUAGAGUGCGGUAGGGGAGCGGGGAAUUCCUGGUGUAGCGGUGAAAUGCGCAGAUAUCAGGAGGAACACCAGCGGCGAAGGCGCCGCUCUGGGCCGUAACUGACGCUGAGGAGCGAAAGCAUGGGUAGCAAACAGG
rnacentral:rRNA from 1 species